rnacentral:rRNA from 1 species
AUUCCCCCAGUAGCGGCGAGCGAACGGGGAGCAGCCCAGAGUCAGCAUCAAUAUUUACCGCAGGAGAAGGGUCUGGAAAGGCCGGCAAUAAAGGGUGAUAGCCCCGUAUCUGAAGCGGUAAGUGUUGUGAACUCGAAGAGUAGGGCGGGACACGUGUUAUCCUGUCUGAAUAUGGGGGGACCAUCCUCCAAGGCUAAAUAUUCCUGACUGACCGAUAGUGAACUAGUACCGUGAGGGAAAGGCGAAAAGAACCCCGGCGAGGGGAGUGAAAUAGAACCUGAAACCGUGUACGUACAAGCAGUGGGAGCACCCGAAAGGGUGUGACUGCGUACCUUUUGUAUAAUGGGUCAGCGACUUAUAUUCUGUAGCAAGGUUAACCGCAUAGGGGAGCCGUAGGGAAACCGAGUCUUAACUGGGCGUUAAGUUGCAGGGUAUAGACCCGAAACCCGGUGAUCUAGCCAUGGGUAGGUUGAAGGUUGGGUAACACUAAC